GGCUCAUCAUAGCCUGAGGUCGCCGGAUCUAACAGGAACUGGGAAGUUAAGCUGGGAUUGGACACGAUUAGUACUUAGAUGGGAGACUGCCUGGGAUUACCAUGUGCCC
rnacentral:rRNA from 1 species